GCGCAACCCUUAUCCUUUGUUGCCAGCACGUCAUGGUGGGAACUCAAAGGAGACUGCCGGUGAUAAACCGGAGGAAGGUGGGGAUGACGUCAAGUCAUCAUGGCCCUUACGAGUAGGGCUACACACGUGCUACAAUGGCAGAUACAAAGUGAAGCGAACUCGCGAGAGCAAGCGGACCACAUAAAGUCUGUCGUAGUCCGGAUUGGAGUCUGCAACUCGACUCCAUGAAGUCGGAAUCGCUAGUAAUCGUAGAUCAGAAUGCUACGGUGAAUACGUUCCCGGGCCUUGUACACACCGCCCGUCACACCAUGGGAGUGGGUUGCAAAAGAAGUAGGUAGCUUAACCUUCGGGAGGGCGCUUACCACUUUGUGAUUCAUGACUGGGGUGAAGUCGUAACAAGGUAACCGUAGGGGAACCUGCGGUUGGAUCACCUCCUUA
rnacentral:rRNA from 1 species